GUGGUAAUCAUAAAAUGAGGACCCUCCGUACUUGAUGCCCAAAUCAACAACCUUGUGCAUGUACAAAUCAAGCUCUUCUCUCCUAUGUGGGUACAUCGUGCAAAUAACAUCUCGAUAAGUGCCAAAAGCGAUAACAAACUGUGGAAUGGUGAGUUUUUUGUUCAGACGUGGAUCUCUGGCUCAUAGGUCUACAGAAAUGUCCCUAUAGUUGUAAGCUCUAUUCUCUAAGAUGUCUUGUGAGGCUAUGAGGAGGGACAUUAAAUUGACGUCCUUUCCAUCAAGAAUAUCUUUCUUGAUGGAAGCCGGGUCAGAGUGGGCUGGUGAGACGCGGCGGUGGUAGUGACUGGCGGGGGAGGGGAGAUGAGGGGUAUGGCAGCCUGAGCGGUCGAGGUUACCGGAGUAGGAACUGCUGGGGCUGGAAAGUCACCUGGAGUGGCUAUGGCCGAUUCCACCUUCAGCAACCUGCUGAUUGGCCAGUAUAGCAGCCAGAGUGUCCUGGGUGGAAUCAGAGUAGCCAACUCGUGCCGGGCCUUGGGUCGUUGGCCUGAGCCGUCAGAAGUUUGUAAAGUUCAGCCUUUCUACCGCCGAUAUUUUGGUAAUGGUCCAAUAUCUUAGGGAUGUGGGAGUAGAAGGAGUGAGGGAUUCCUCC